rnacentral:rRNA from 1 species
CAGCCGCCGCGGGAAUACGGAGGGGGCAAGCGUUAUCCGGAAUUACUGGGUGUAAAGGGAGCGUAGACGGUUAAACAAGUCUGAAGUGAAAUGCCGGGGCUCAACCCCGGAGCUGCUUUGGGAACUGUAGAACUGGAGUGUCGGAGGGGUAAGCGGAAUUCCCAGUGUAGCGGUGAAAUGCGUAGAUAUUGGGAGGAACACCGGCGGCGAAGGCGGCCUACUGGACGACAACUGACGUUGAGGCUCGAAGGCGUGGGUAGCAAACAGGAUUAGAUACCCCCGUAGUCCCUGUCUCUUAUAC